GAUGAACGCUGGCGGCGUGCCUAAUACAUGCAAGUCGAGCGAACAGACGAGGAGCUUGCUCCUCUGACGUUAGCGGCGGACGGGUGAGUAACACGUGGAUAACCUACCUAUAAGACUGGGAUAACUUCGGGAAACCGGAGCUAAUACCGGAUAAUAUAUUGAACCGCAUGGUUCAAUAGUGAAAGACGGUUUUGCUAUCACUUAUAGAUGGAUCCGCGCCGCAUUAGCUAGUUGGUAAGGUAACGGCUUACCAAGGCAACGAUGCGUAGCCGACCUGAGAGGGUGAUCGGCCACACUGGAACUGAGACACGGUCCAGACUCCUACGGGAGGCAGCAGUAGGGAAUCUUCCGCAAUGGGCGAAAGCUUGACGGAGCAGCGCCGCGUGAGUGAUGAAGGUCUUCGGAUCGUAAAACUCUGUUAUUAGGGAAGAACAAAUGUGUAAGUAACUAUGCACGUCUUGACGGUACCUAAUCAGAAAGCCACGGCUAACUACGUG
rnacentral:rRNA from 1 species